GCUUUCCGUUAACGGCAUCUCCUUCUCUCCUCUCCCGGUCUUCCCGAGAGAGAGAGAGAGAGAGAGAGAGAGAGAGAGAGAGAGACCGGCGUGAUCGACUCGAUGAUGACGGUGGCGGCGAGCCUGACUAUAGGAGAUCGCCGGAUCCUGGCGGCGGUGAGCACGGGGACGGCGGCGCUCUCGCUGGGGGGAUCGGCCUUCAUCGUGCUCUGCUACCUCCUCUUCAAAGAGCUCCACAAGUUCUCCUUCAAGCUCGUCUUCUUCCUCGCCCUCUCCGACAUGUUUUGCAGUUUCUUCACUAUAGUUGGGGAUCCGUCAAAUGGAUUUUUCUGCUAUGCUCAAGACUAUACUGCACAUUUCUUCUGUGUAGCAUCAUUUUUGUGGACUACAACAAUUGCAUUCACUCUCCACCGAACAGUUGUUCGACACAAAACGGAUGUUGAAGAUUUUGAAUCAGUUUUUCACUUGUAUGUUUGGGGAACUUCACUAGUUACGACUGUCAUACGCUCUAUAGGCAGUGAGUAUGGACGACCAGGUGCCUGGUGUUGGAGUGAACCUGCACGCACAGGAAAGGUAGCUCACUUAAUAACAUUUUAUGGUCCACUCUGGAGUGCCAUUCUGUACAAUGGAUUUACAUACUUUCAAGUGACUCGCAUGCUAAACAAUGCAACACGGAUGGCUGUGGGCAUGUCAGAUCAGUCACGCCAUUUUGAUACAAGGGCAGAAAAGGCAGUAAAUAGGUGGGGCUACUAUCCUUUGAUUUUGAUAGGGUCUUGGGCAUUUGGAACAAUCAACCGUCUAUAUGACUUCAUUAAUCCAGGGCACAAGAUCUUUUGGCUUUCUUUUCUUGAUGUUGGGUUUGCUGGACUUAUGAUGGGGACAUUUCAUACUUCCUAAUUCCUAUCGUGUGCAGAGCAUGUGCCCACGAUAGUUGAAUAUAAUUUUAGACACUGAUAUUCUUGUCAAUCUGGUAAGCUUUGUUUUUUUUUUUUCUGUUGAGUCUAAAAAUGAUAUGGUUCUUGCAUUUGAUAUACUUGAUAACUGUCUCCAAAUAUCUUUCGAAACAUUCUAGUAUUAUAUGGAAUACCAUCGCUAGGGAACUGGUUACCGUCUAGAACUGUAUGUAAUCGUCCAUACAAGUUGCUUUACCUAUAUUGAUAAGUCCUCCUGACUUGCCUGUGCUUGAAAGUACAUUUAAUAAAGAAGUGCCUGCUAAAUUUGUCCAUGAUACCUUUUAUCCUGAUAUUCUUGUUGUAAGAGCUGGGCUUGGUAAAGACACAAUAGAAAAUCCUUUGGCAGGUAAAACUAAAAAGACCCUUCUUUACACGCUGAUAAAUGCAAACCAUGUCUCUAUUGAGAGCAUACUCUUAUUGUUAUAAAUAUUUAGAGAAUUGGUUUCCUAAGAUCAGAUACCUGAAUAGGCAGACUAGAUGUGGUUCUGGUUUAUAUGAGGAUAUAGGUGAAUAUACUAUUUUGUCUAAUCAUUUAGAUGAGAACCUCAGAUUGUAUUGAGUAAUUGUUCCAGAAACUUUGGAUAUUGGCGUUGUCAGGACUCCUAUCAGGGGGAUUUCUCUGUAGAGUCCAGCAAUAUGAAACCUGUAAUAUUCUCUUAGUGAAAAACUUGUGUAAGACCAUGUUGAAGCAGUAACCUUUUAAGUUUUUUUAUACUGCAGAGUGGAUCUAGUACAAGAAUGUUCUACAUAUUUUCAUAAUCAAUAAGCUUGCAGAUUGAGUAAAGUGGAACGUAAUUAGGAAUGGUCCUAUUGUAUAUACAUUGUCAUGUAUCUUCAGAGUAUUUGUCAAUAGUUGUGUUAUGUAUAUCUGUUUCAUGUCUGCUCCAGUUUAUUAUUUCACGUCUUCCUGAUUUAGGGGCUAUUCAAUUCAAUUGCUUAUGGGCUUAACUCUUCCGUGAGGCGAGCUAUUGGAGAAAGAAUCAAUACGUGGAUACCUGAGAAAUUUAGAAGGUUCUGUCCUGCUUGGUUAAGGCCCAGAGGUCAAUGGCAAGAAAAUGAGCUUGUGUCGCUGGUGGUUGAAGGCCAGCAAUAGUUAAGGCUGGUUAUGCUGUUGUAGUCCUUUGUACUACCUCAUUUCACAUCAAUCUUGUUGUCAAAUUCGUAAGAAAACAGAUCCAGAGGAAUCAGAAGAGGAACAUGGAUUGAAAGAAUGGUCGUGCAUCCCUGUGAUUAUCACACAUAAUGCAUCCAUUCUUGUAAAACAGAUUGAAUGCCAGCACACUGCAGAUCUCUCACCUAAAUUCAGUUUCAAUUUCUUCUUUAUCUGCUCAGCAGUUGUGGGUGCCAAUCUGCGUGGUCUGCUUCAACAUCAGGGGUAUUUAGGAUGUUUCAUCUAUGGCGUUGUUUUCAGCAAAACUGUAGAUGAUAACAGGGUGGAGGAAGAGAUUUCUAGGAAAAAGAAGAUACAGCAGAUCAGUGGAUAUGCAUCAUUGAACGGAGAUCAUAUUAUUUUCUUUUGAUAUAUUUUUUGAAUCUUUAAUGUAUCAUAUUAUGAACUUUUGGUGUUUCAUAUGGAGUCUUUGGAUUUAUGAUGAUUCUUUCUUGAACUUGUGUUUUUCAGACAAUUUUUGCUAUCAUAAUGAUGUGAUUCUUGUUUUCA